AGAGUUUGAUCAUGGCUCAGAUUGAACGCUGGCGGCAUGCCUUACACAUGCAAGUCGAACGGCAGCACGGGGGCAACCCUGGUGGCGAGUGGCGAACGGGUGAGUAACGCAUCGGAAUGUACCCAGUAGUGGGGGAUAACUAGUCGAAAGAUUAGCUAAUACCGCAUACGCACUGAGGUGGAAAGCGGGGGAUCGUAAGACCUCACGUUAUUCGAGCGGCCGACGUCUGAUUAGCUAGUUGGUGAGGUAAUGGCUCACCAAGGCGACGAUCAGUAGCGGGUCUGAGAGGAUGAUCCGCCACACUGGGACUGAGACACGGCCCAGACUCCUACGGGAGGCAGCAGUGGGGAAUUUUGGACAAUGGGGGCAACCCUGAUCCAGCCAUUCCGCGUGAGUGAAGAAGGCCUUCGGGUUGUAAAGCUCUUUCAGCAGGAACGAAACGGUACGCUCUAACAUAGUGUGCUAAUGACGGUACCUGCAGAAGAAGCACCGGCUAACUACGUGCCAGCAGCCGCGGUAAUACGUAGGGUGCGAGCGUUAAUCGGAAUUACUGGGCGUAAAGCGUGCGCAGGCGGAUUGUUAAGCAAGAUGUGAAAUCCCCGGGCUUAACCUGGGAAUGGCAUUUUGAACUGGCAGUCUAGAGUGUGUCAGAGGGGGGUGGAAUUCCACGUGUAGCAGUGAAAUGCGUAGAGAUGUGGAGGAACACCGAUGGCGAAGGCAGCCCCCUGGGAUAACACUGACGCUCAUGUACGAAAGCGUGGGUAGCA
rnacentral:rRNA from 1 species